GAUAGGAAAUCAGCAAAGGGCUGCGGCCAGGUGUGGGAUCCAGACAUAUGCCGAACACCG
rnacentral:sRNA from 1 species